rnacentral:misc_RNA from 1 species
CACCUCUCCGCCUCGCGGGUGUUGGACUGGGUGGGCUCACCCGUCCCAAAGACAAUGACGCGGCCGACGACGGCGGGACACGGAGCUUCGGCACGUUCCGACGGCGGCGCCCCGCGGAGCCUUUAUUCUCUA